GAUCUUUAAACCAAUCCUUCCGAAAAGCCUAGGGAGCAGGAACUCUUAAAGAAUAAUUUUUCAAGAAGCAGGAAGAUACCUAGCUGGUUGUGUACUAAUGGAAGUUCCUGAAGAGAGAGAAAAAAGCAGAACAAACUAAAAGGUCUCUAGACUUAACUUCUUUAUGGAGAAGGCAAAGUAAUGGGAGAGCAAUUUAGAUUAGCCCCUCCAGCAGGACUCUAGUUGUGGUUUUCUGUCUGCAAAUCCUCCACCUACAAGUUGCACCUGAACUCAAAUUGGCAUGUUGCUGAUCUUACUUCAAAAUAAUUUAUUCAUAAUCUAUUAUUUUGAAGUAGGCUCUGUUCCAUAUUAUUUUGAAGUAGCUCUAUUCCAUAGCAUUAGCCUUGGUGAAUUAACUAUUAAAGUAAAUAAAUAAACAUCUAUGUUUGUCUACAAUUAAA